rnacentral:rRNA from 1 species
GAUGAACGCUGGCGGCGUGCCUAAUACAUGCAAGUCGAGCGAACAGAUAAGGAGCUUGCUCCUUUGACGUUAGCGGCGGACGGGUGAGUAACACGUGGGUAACCUACCUAUAAGACUGGGAUAACUUCGGGAAACCGGAGCUAAUACCGGAUAAUAUUUCGAACCGCAUGGUUCGAUAGUGAAAGAUGGUUUUGCUAUCACUUAUAGAUGGACCCGCGCCGUAUUAGCUAGUUGGUAAGGUAACGGCUUACCAAGGCGACGAUACGUAGCCGACCUGAGGGGGUGAUCGGCCACACUGGAACUGAGACACGGUCCAGACUCCUACGGGAGGCAGCAGUAGGGAAUCUUCCGCAAUGGGCGAAAGCCUGACGGAGCAACGCCGCGUGAGUGAUGAAGGUCUUCGGAUCGUAAAACUCUGUUAUUAGGGAAGAACAUACGUGUAAGUAACUGUGCACGUCUUGACGGUACCUAAUCAGAAAGCCACGGCUAACUACGUG